UACGUAGGGGGCAAGCGUUGUCCGGAUUUAUUGGGCGUAAAGAGCGUGUAGGCGGUUAGGUAGGUCCGUUGUGAAAACUCGAGGCUCAACCUCGAGACGCCGAUGGAAACCAUCUGACUAGAGUCCGGAAGAGGAGAGUGGAAUUCCUGGUGUAGCGGUGAAAUGCGCAGAUAUCAGGAGGAACACCAGUGGCGAAGGCGGCUUCCUGGACCGGUUCUGACACUGAGGAGCGAAAGCGUGGGGAGCGAUCCGG
rnacentral:rRNA from 1 species